rnacentral:rRNA from 1 species
AUGGCGGCGCCGCCGGGGAUCCUCGAGGUGCGAUGCGCGGGGUGCGGCGAGACCCUGGAGGUGGAGCAUGGCCUCACGGAGUUCGCCUGCCCCGACUGCGGCAUGGCCCAGUCGCUCCCGCCGGAGCUCAUGCCGCCCCGCCCUCGCCGCGCGCUCCCGCUCCCCGGACGAGGCGCCCCCUACGCCGCGCCCGCCCCGCCCGCCGCGCCCGCUCGAGUCACGUGCGGCGGAUGCGGAUCCGUGCUCAGCGUGCCGCACGGCCCCGGGCGAUUCGCCUGCCCGCUCUGCGGCGUCGAGCUCGCGUCCUUCCCCAUCGCCGCAGUUCCGGUCGUGGUGUCGCCCACAGCCGUCCCAAUCUCCUCCCCCCGGCCAAUGAAUGCCUCAGAGCAGGUGCAGCAGCCUUCGAGUCAAUCAGCUCGUGCAGGAAUGGUUCAAAAACCCAUUCAUUCACAACAAUACAAGCAUUUUUUUGGAGAGGAGUCCUUCAAUUCAUUUCGAGCUGAACCAAGAACACAUAUUGAUGCAGGAAGGACGCUACUAAUUGAGCCUCCUAAUCCUUCAGUCCAUAGGGAUGAGUCACAUACUGAACCUGUCCAAGGAACUCUUGCCAGGCCUGGCAAGAGGACACAAAUUGAUGCAGCAAGGACACUACAAAAUGAGCUUCCUAAUGCUUCAAUCCACAGGGAGGAGUCACAUACUGAACCUGUCCAAGGAAAUAUUGCCAGGUCUGGCAAGAGGACAUAUAGAUUUGUAUUUGGUCCAAAAUCAUGGCAAGAAGGAAAUGUCCAGAAAGAGCAGCCUAACCAGGUUGUCCAUGCAUCACAGGCUCAAGUUAUGCCCACAGAGUCUUCAGUUCCUACAAACCAGGCAGUAGGAAGGUUUCCUGAUGACCCAAUUCCGAUUCACAGCAAGCAGAUAACUGAACAUGUGGAUGUCCCUAGUGCUACCGAGCAUGGGCAGAUGCGUUCUCAGCAUCAAGUUGUCCAUGAAGAGCAGGCAGGUGAAAAUCCUAUUGACACAGUCCACAUGGAGCAGGAAAAGGGGGACUCUGCUUGCAAGCCAUCAAGCGAAAAUAGGAAGAGCGCCGAAAAUACUAAAGGAAAUCAUAAGAGGGAAAACAGUAAUUUGAUAAAUGUCCACGCAUCACAGGCACAAGUAAUGCCCACUGAGUCUUCGGUUCAUAUAAACCAGGCAGACGGAGGGUUUCCUGAUGACACAAUUCCAAAGCACGGCAAGCAGAGAACUGAACAUGUGGCUGUCCCUAGUGCUAUCGAGCAUGAGCAGGUACGUUCUCGGCAUCAAGUUGACCAUGAGCAGCAGGAAGGUGAAAAUCCUAGUGACAGAGUCCACAUGGAGCAGGAAAAGGCGGACUCUGUCUGCAAGCCAUCAAACAAAAAUAUAAAGAGCACCGAAAAUACCAUAGGAAAUCGUAAGAGGAAAAACAAGAAUUUGAUGAAUUCUUCUAUUGAGCGGCCUCAGCUUAGGCGCAGUAAACGCCUGUCAAAGGGAUCAUCACCAGACCUUAUUGAUGUUGAGCCUAUCCAGAUGUUAGAUGCUUCCCCCCAUCAAAAUCAUUCAGAAGCUCCACAGAUUGCGAGUAGCAUAGCUGAUCAAACACUCUCUCCAGAGACUGGGUGGGCACUUCCUAAUCCUGAUUCUAGUUCAUCGCAUGAGCAUGAGAUUCCCCAAAAAAGCUUUAAUGGGAUUGACCAGCUUGAUGGAAGUGAUGAGGAAGUACAUUCAAGUCCAUCAGAUGGUCAAAAUCAGUAUAUGGAUGGACAAGUGGCAGAAGCAGCUUGCAGUGGCAAGAACCACUCGGAGCAGGUGCGACUCAAGCCUCACAGCAAGAAUUUUGCAGAGCAUGGCAGGCCGAUAAACUUGGCUGCUUCAUGCAGCCGCCUUGCUGCCUUGUUGCCUGUUCCAGCUUCCGCUACUUUGCCCACUAUUUCCUCGAUUUCUUCACCUGAAAAGCUACCACCUCAGUGCAGCAGUCCAAUAACACCGCAUAACCAACCACGAGCAGUUAUAUAUUCCCAGGAUGCACAGUGUGAUGAUAUGCUAUCAGGAUCUCUUAGCAAGUCAUCGAAAAAGCGCAAGGGGCGUGGCCCUUCAGUGCUAGUGCAACCACGCGAAGAAGCUGAUAGGCCUGUGUUGACGCCCAGUGGUACAGACAACUGGAGUGUCCACCCGCCAUUUCCUAAGAAGGUAGCAACUACCAUCUCCCUUCUUAUCAAGCAGAACUAUCCUGGGACCUGUAUUUCAGUGGAUGACGAGGGAAGAUCCUGUGAGGUUGUGGUUCACUAUUGGCACCAAUGCCCUCCAGAUGUAAGGGCUACCGUGUUGGAUGAAUUCCUUAAACGCUACAAGUGGGCCCCUGGCCACGAAGAGGAGUGCCAGAAGAUCUUUGAGCGCAAAGCAGUUAGACAGUUAGUUAACCUCUUUUGCUAUGAGAAGCAAAGGGUUAGAGAGGAGUUGGCAGCAAAGAAGUUCAAAGGAUCUUCGGUGGUUGGUAGGGCCAAUGGAGAAUUAGAAAAGGGAGACGAUAGAGAAGAUUCAGAGGAACGACAGGGAGAUGGGUCCGUUGUGUCGAUCGACCAUGAUGAUCCACUGAAUUGGAAACCGUUUGUCCCUGAUUGGAUGCAACCAGCAUGGUGGGAAAUGUUGUGUGACCAUUGGGCCCAAGACGAAUUUAUGAAGGUUUCUUACCAAAAGAGAAAGAAUCGGAAUGCAGGAGGCCACCCCUCUGCUGCUGCAGGCUCACAAAUCAUAGCAAUGCAUGAGCACCCUAAGGAUACCACAUCCUGGGAUGCUGAGGAGGCCAGAGAUCCUCUGCUUGGCCCCCAUCCUGUGCAAGAGCAGUUGGGGAGCUCGAAGCGUGAGAGGUACCAUGGUACUCCUGUUGCCAGCAAGAAGGCCCAGACUGAUUCAUCGUCAAAAUCCUCCCCAGAUUUCUUGAGCAGACAGGGACAACAGCCAAGAUUCACACAGGAGCAGGUGCAGCUGAUGAUUAACCAAGCUCUGCAAGGACUGAAUGAAACUUGGGAGAAGAAGUUUCUGUCCUUGGAGCAAAACAUGCGUAGCGUGCCCUCGGCACGUGCUGUUCGUGUUGGUGCUAAGAGAUCAGCGGUGGCUGUUGCAAGGGGCAAGCGAUGUCAAAUUUCACGGCAGGACACAUUUGAUUCGGCGGAGGGAGAAGAAGAUCAAGACGACGGCGAGGAGCAGGAUGAUGAGCGUUGGAGUUAG